rnacentral:rRNA from 1 species
UACGUAGGAUGCGAGCGUUAUCCGGAUUUAUUGGGUUUAAAGGGUGCGUAGGCGGAACAUUAAGUCAGCGGUAAAAUCGUGGAGCUCAACUCCAUCCAGCCGUUGAAACUGAUGAUCUUGAGUGGGCGAGAAGUAUGCGGAAUGCGUGGUGUAGCGGUGAAAUGCAUAGAUAUCACGCAGAACUCCGAUUGCGAAGGCAGCAUACCGGCGCUCAACUGACGCUCAUGCACGAAAGUGUGGGUAUCGAACAGG